rnacentral:rRNA from 1 species
CAGCACGGUAAUACAGAGGGUGCGAGCGUUAAUCGGAUUUACUGGGCGUAAAGCGUGCGUAGGCGGCUUCUUAAGUCGGAUGUGAAAUCCCUGAGCUUAACUUAGGAAUUGCAUUCGAUACUGGGAAGCUAGAGUAUGGGAGAGGAUGGUAGAAUUCCAGGUGUAGCGGUGAAAUGCGUAGAGAUCUGGAGGAAUACCGAUGGCGAAGGCAGCCAUCUGGCCUAAUACUGACGCUGAGGUACGAAAGCAUGGGGAGCAAACAGGAUUAGAUACCCCAGUAGUCCCUGUCUCUUAUACACAU